AACGAACGCUGGCGGCAUGCUUAACACAUGCAAGUCGAACGUGAAGGGGACUUCGGUCCCUGGAAAGUGGCGCACGGGUGAGUAACACGUGGAUAAUCUACCCGAUGAUCUGGAAUAACACUUCGAAAGGGGUGAUAAUACCGGAUAAGCUCACGACGUCUUCGGACGACGCGGGAAAAGGGGGCUUCGGCUUCUGUCAUCGGAUGAGUCCGCGGCCCAUUAGCUAGUUGGUAGGGUAAUGGCCUACCAAGGCUACGAUGGGUAGCUGGUCUGAGAGGAUGAUCAGUCACACUGGAACUGAGACACGGUCCAGACUCCUACGGGAGGCAGCAGUGGGGAAUUUCGCGCAAUGGGCUAAAGCCUGACGCAGCAAUGCCGCGUGAGUGAUGAAGGCCUUCGGGUCGUAAAGCUCUGUCAGAGGGGAAGAAACUCCCGUCGGUUAAUACCCGGCGGGCCUGACGGUACCCUCAAAGGAAGCACCGGCUAACUCCGUGCCAGCCGCCGCCGUAA
rnacentral:rRNA from 1 species